GGUUGUUUUUGUGCCUUAAUAAUUUAAAUUGUCAUUUGAAAACCAAAUUUAGUAUUGCCUUGGGAUGCCUCUGUUUGAUAUUAAAAUCGGUUUGUUGAACUGUAACUCGUGUGUGAUAAAUAUUCCAAGAACGCAGUCAACAGGACGGGGGCAAAUAUUUUCACACGGCACUGUAUAAAAGAAUAAAUUUGACUAAAGUGAUCAUCAAUUGGAAGAAGCUUCAACUGACAAGUCGACAACAGUCUGCUGUGGUGAACACGACAAUGAAGUGGUUGAUCUUGGCUUUCUGCGUCGCCGUGCUGGUCAUAGCUGGUGAAGCUGUGAAAUGCCAAUCCUGUAUACCAUGGUUGAUGCCAUAUUGUAUUCCUCAAACGGUCGAGUGCGCCCCCGGCCAAGUCUGCGGUAAAUCCCAAUGGGAUGGGUGCACAUCGCCGUGACAGUGACAGCGGACAAGCCCUCAACUUCAAGUGCUCCAGAAUGGACCACAGCGACCAUCCUUUUAUAAAAGUAUAAAAAAAAAAAAAAAAAAGUAUCCCUGUAGUUUAGUUGGAAAGCAUUAAAAAAUGUCAUAA